AUGAACGCUAGCGGCAGGCUUAACACAUGCAAGUCGAGGGGCAGCAUGAGACGGAGAUUCGUCGAAGUCUUGAUGGCGACCGGCGCAAGGGUGCGUAACGCGUGAGCAACUUGCCCGUUUCUGGGGAAUAACCGGUGGAAACGCCGACUAAUACCCCAUGGUGAUGGUUUGAGGCAUCUCUUUCCAUCUAAAGAAUUUCGGAAACGGAUAGGCUCGCGUGACAUUAGCUAGAUGGCGGGGUAACGGCCCACCAUGGCGACGAUGUCUAGGGGUUCUGAGAGGAAGGUCCCCCACACUGGAACUGAGACACGGUCCAGACUCCUACGGGAGGCAGCAGUGAGGAAUAUUGGUCAAUGGUCUGACGACUGAACCAGCCAUGCCGCGUGAAGGUCACGGCCCUAUGGGUCUUAAACUUCUUUUGCAAGGGAGCAAUAAGGUCUACGUGUAGAUCGAUGAGAGUACCUUGCGAAUAAGCAUCGGCUAACUCCGUG
rnacentral:rRNA from 1 species